rnacentral:rRNA from 1 species
CCUACGGGGGGCUGCAGUGAGGAAUAUUGGUCAAUGGGCGGGAGCCUGAACCAGCCAAGUCGCGUGAGGGACGACGGUCCUAUGGUUUGUAAACCUCUUUUGUCGGGGAACAAAGGCGCCCACGGGUGGGCGGAUGAGUGUACCCGAAGAAAAAGCAUCGGCAAACCCCGUUCCAGCCGCCGCGGUAAUACGGGGGAUGCGAGCGUUAUCGGGAUUUAUUGGGUUUAAAGGGUGCGUAGGCGGACGGUCAAGUCAGCGGUAAAAAUGCGGUGCUAAACGCCGUACAGCCGUUGAAACUGGCAGUCUUGAGUGGGCGAGAGGUAUGCGGAAUGCGUGGUGUAGCGGUGAAAUGCGUAGAUAUCACGCGGAACUCCGAUUGCGAAGGCAGCAUACCGGCGCCCUACUGACGCUGAGGCACGAAAGCGUGGGUAUCGAACAGGAUUAGAUACCCUUGUAGUC